AUUAAAUAGAGCGACCAUGAUCUCCUCCAAGUGAAAGUGAGCAAAUGGUUGAGCAGGUCACCUUGACCAUGUGGUAUGAGCUUGAGCAGAUCAGUGCUAUGAGAUGAAGCAGAUCACCUCGACCAGGUGCUAUGAGGUGGAGCAGAUCACCUCGACCAGGUACAAUGAGGUUGAGCAGAUCGCCUUGACCAGGUGGUGUGAGCUUGAGCAGAUGAGCAUGUGGUAUGAGUUUGAGCAAAUCACCUCGACCAAGUGAUAUGAGAUGGAGCAGAUCACCUCGACCAGGUGCUAUGAGGUGGAGCAGAUCACCUCGACCAAGUGCUAUGAGAUGGAGCAGAUCACCUCGACCAGGUUCUAUGAGGUGGAGCAGAUCACCUCGACCAGGUGCUAUGAGGUUGAGCAGAUCACAUCGAUCAGGUGCUAUGCGGUGGAGCAGAUCACUUCGACCAGGCGCUAUGAGGUGGAGCAGAUCACCUCGACCAGGUGCUAUGAGGUGGAGCAGAUCACCUCGACCAAAACCACCACAAAGCUCCUCCGAAAAAGCAGGGCACGAAUUUGAUCAAUUAAUGGUUAUUGUCACGAUCUAAGGUCGUGGGUGUGAGGUGUUUUAUAAAGACCCCGAGAAAACCACGCAGUGGAGGGCCCUUUUUC
rnacentral:lncRNA from 1 species